GGCGAGAUGGCCGAGCGGUCUAAGGCGCCAGAAUCAGGUGUUGAGCGCAACAGUGCUCUACUUCAUCUGGUCCGAAAGGGCGUGGGUUCGAAUCCCACUCUCGUCA